rnacentral:lncRNA from 1 species
CUACAUAAACCUCGACAUCUCGAUGCAUCAUGUCAUAGAAUAGGGUGGUCGUUGCUCUCUAAUAGGUAGUUCAUGUAUUCUUCAACCCAAAUGGCAUGACUCGGUAGCAAUAAGUACCCCACUCGGUAAUGAAUGGCGUCUUCUCCAUGUCCUCUAGAGCCAUGAGGAUCUGACUGUACCCAAAAAAAUCCGUCCAUAAAGGACAACAUCAAAUGAUCUGUUGUAUUGUCAACUAGCAUAUCGAUGUGUGGGAGAGGAAAAUCAUCCUUAGGAUUGGCUUUGUUGACAUCUUGGAAAUCAACACAAACUUUCAUUUUGCCGUCUUUUUUGGGAAUAGGGAUGACAUUGGCUAGCCACUCAGGGUACUCGACCAUUGAUAAAAAUCUCACACUGAGUUACUUCUGAAUCUCUUCCUUUUCUGCAAGCUCCAACGAGAGUGCAAUAGUCUCAACUUUUGCUUAACCGGUCUAGCAUGGGGUAGAAGCGGCAAACGAUGCUGGACAAUAGAGCGUCAUAAGGCUAAUACGAUCUAAAGAUGAUGGAGCAGCCAAUGCAGAUGUCGAAGUGCUUGGAGCUCCAUCACUCAACUGUAGCCAAUAGAUAAGACGCUGAAGCUCGGCCUCCUAAACAGUAUUGAGUCCUCUAAUGAUCCCAUCUGAAGGCAUCUGUGACUCUGACGCCCUCACAAAGUAGUCCGUCAAGCUCAUGGUUUAUGGAUGAACAAGAUAAUCAAAAUGUGUGUGAGUCAAUCGGGUUAUCACCCUCUCCUUACGCAAUCGCGCCAUAUAUUGAUAAUCAACCUCAGUGGGGAUGAACCCAAGUCCGAAUGGUAUAUCAUGAUCUGGGAUAGCCAUGAACUCACUGGGCCCGUGUUGACGCCACCCCAACCCCAUGCCAGGUAAAUAAGACAUGCUUCUCAUUAUGUCGAGUACCAUUGUGCUGCCAUACUGGUUAAACAACAUAGCCACAAAGUCUCGGUGAAAAUCCUCCAUCUCCAAGGUUUGCACCUCGUCGAAUGUGAACCCAGUCAGAAAUAGGUCAUCAUCACUGUGACUAAUAUGAAGCAUUGGCUUAGCAUAAAUAAACAUAUCUCCCACAUACUACACUGUGACGACUUGGCCAUCAUGAAUGAACUUCACAUUCUAAUGAAGAGAAUAAGGAAUGGCCUCAGCUCUGUGAAUCCAAGGUCGACCCAAUAGCAGGUUAAAUGAUGUAGGAAUUCUCAAAACCUGGAACAAAGUAACAAAUGUGGUCAGACCUAUCAGCAGCUCAAUCUCUAAAGUGCUCAUGACCUCCCUCCGAGUGUUAUCAUAUGCUCAGACUGUCUGAGUAGAGGGACCAAAGUCAAAGGGCGCAUAGUUGAGGGCGAUGGCAGUGGCCAGAGGAUAGACAUUCAAUACCAAGCCAUUGUCUAAAAGGACAGAUAGGACUCGACGACCUGAACAACCGAUUGCUAUAUAUAGUGGAUGUGUAUGGUCUGAAUCCUCUAGUGGCAAGUCGUCAUCAGAGAAAACUAUGCAAAUGGCUUUACCAAUCGUCACCAUGUGACUCAACCCUUCAGAGUGGUGGUAGUCUCGACUCUGAUCUAGCUCAGGACUCGAAUCAAUGCAUCUCUAUGAGUACUGGAAGAUGCCAGCAAGCUUCAAAUGGAAAUACAAGCCUAUGUGCUCUAUAACCGCCUUAGAAUCUCAUCAUCCUCCCUUUCGACCUCUUUAUGGGAUGAGGUCCCCUCCAAGGGUCUAGCAACUGCAGGAGGCUACUGUCAUACCACCCUACUCCCACGAAUAACAUUUUUUAUAUCAGGAAUGUGAACAUCAUCAACAUAUGGAGUUCGAACCUUCUCAACAUCCAGAAUCAAGACAAACGGUGUUUGAGCACUGUAAUAUGGGAAAGUCAGUGGCACAACAGUGGUCGUCUAUACUGACGCUGCCUCAGGAACUAGUUUAAAUGGUGUUGGCAUCUGAAGGCCCAAAGUCACUUGGCCUAUCUCAUAAAUCCCAUCAAAUGCUAUGGGCUUUGGCUUAGAAUCAUCCCAACUCAGCAUGUGGAUGUGGUCGUCAAGCUUAACGAAGUCCAGGAAAUGUAUACCAUCAAUCGGAUGGGGAACCGUGUGUGUAAUGUGACCCGAUAAUGGGUUUGUGGUUACACUCGGCUAACCCAAGUGAACCAAACCCUAAUAAAUCAGAUCCUGGAUAGCAUGUCUCAGAGCAGCAUAACGAUCUGUCUCAUGUCCUGGCCCCUAAUGAUACGCACAGUAUAAAUCCAUCUUGAACUGAGGCGGGACAAGCUAAGGCAAUGAUUUGGGUAUGAGAGCCAUCAACAGUUUAGACUUUGUGAGUUUUCGAAGAGUCUGACUCAACGGCAUACCCAACUGUGAAAACUGUUUUUACGUCCUCAAAACAAAAGGAGUAGAGGUCUGUUAAGCUCUGGGUUUAGGAUAGGAUGUUGUAGGUCUCGCAGCAAACUGUGUCAUAUAACAUGGAUGGCCUAUGGCAGAAUAUGAAACAUGAGGUCUCUUGGUGCCCUGCGUGGCAAAGUAAGGCAAUACUAGUGUACGAGGCAUGUAAGCCUGAUCAUAGGUUUGAUGAGGCGCUCGUGACCUAUACUGCUGAGGUGCAUAAGAAGAAUGAGUCCCAGUGAGUUAUGGAACAGGAUGAUAACGCCUGGAAGGCCUCUGACUAGUAGAAAUGAUACCACUCACAUCAACUGAUCUCUGUCCUCUGGAUGGUAUCUUCCCCUUAACAUCAGUAGGGGAAGAAUCUGUCCAUAGACCUCUAGAAAUACCGUUCCUCAACAUUAUAUAGGGCCAAAACCAGAAAGCCAAAGUUUGUAAAGGGUACCUCGACCACAUGUCUAGCAAUCCUAGGUUGUAGACUCCUCAGAACCAUCUGUAUCUGAUCCUUCUCUGAUGGCCUAUCAAUAAUCUCAGCUAUCUUCCCGUGCCGGCUAGAGAUGAACGAAGAAACGGACUCAUCCGAUCUCUGUCUCAGAACCUCAAGCCCUCUCCUCGAUACAUCUACGACGGUAUUAAACGAAAACUAUCGCAAAAACUCCUAGGCCAAGUCAUCUCAUGUCCUACGUUACGAGGACUUCAAAGACGCGAACCAACAUUGGGCUGCUCCACUCAAAGAUAAUGGGAAUAAGGUGAUCAUCUAUGACUUGUCCAAUCUAUGGGCCCUCAUUACUGUGUUGUAGAGUCGGAGGUGAAUGAGAGGGUAACCAAUGCCCGUGUACCUCUCAAUGUCAGGCAUCCUAAACUUGGCCAGUAAACUAGCCACUAGCAUACCCUCAAGAUCAUCCUAAACAACUGAAUUGUCAGAUACUCUCAACUGUAAGCUGCUCGAUACGGUCCAUAUGUGUGAACAUCAUCAAUGAUCGUGGUCUGAACUACUGCAGGUGGGGCAACCUCAGAAUGACCAUGCAACAGAUAAGAUGAGGCCUGAAGCACUGUCAGAACAGGUGGUGGCGGUGGAGGUGGCAACGAGUCAUAAGGUGUCUCAUCUUGAAAUACGGGCGGUAUACUCUACUGACUACCUAUCUUUUGUCUGAGACUUGCCAAGGCCUCCUGAAUAGAAACCAUGGCGGUUGUGAACUGAUCAACCGUGACAACCUGUUGAUUCAUGUCUGAUAUCUUUAAAAAUCAGACUAAUCUCCCCUCUACUUUGACCCAAGAUGGUAAAUCCAAACUGAGAACAAAGCAUCGAUCUUGGAACAUGAGAAACGAAAUAAGAGUACGUCAUAGGGAAAACACAAAAGAAAUGUUAAUCUGAACUGAAACGAGCAAGACAUUAAAGUGUAGACGAACUGUUCGACCGUAACUCAAACUCGUACUGAUCUCGGUGCACUCUCAACUGGAGACUAAAAAAGGGAAUACUAAAUCCAAACUGUGACCAAAGAGACUCUAAAGGCCCUUAGAUGCACCCACAUGUAAGGAGAGAGUCUUAAUCGAAGGAUCUACGACUCAACCUACAAGGUCAAGAUGACUCUAAAAGGAUAAGGAUGGACUAUAAAAUAUCCCUAGUAGAAGCGAUCAUACCCUCCGACGGUACGCAACCCUUUACACGCCUCCGAAGAGAUGGGGCGCUUCCAUGAAAAGUGGUUAUCACCUCCACACAUGCACUACCUCGACAUCCUAGGGGGUUUCCUAUGGUGAAACCUCUCAAAACUCUCAACACUCAAUAGUCAACUAAAGUGCAUAGUGAGCAGGUGUAGGUGCAUCCGAAAACCCUAUGAAUUUAAAACAGAAAGAGGAAACAUACUGGUGGCACAAAUAUCCAUGAAACCUAGCUCCGAGCUAUACAAGUCUUCAAUGAUCGGACUCUAAUCACCAUCGAUAUGUUAGUCUCCUCCAGAAUGCUCCCGAACAUCGAUAUAGCCCAUCGCUAGACCCUACUCCUAAUCUCUAACUUGGUUAGAGAAGCAAGCACACACAAGGCCUUACACUUACAAAAAUAAGAGCCGAAAUGAAAGAAAUGACUGAAACCAAAGGAUUGGAGGUAAAAAGGAUAGAUGUGCGGCCCACACAAAUAAGCGACAUGCAAUCAUACAAGAAAAGAGCAUUCAUGCACCAUACAAUCAAGCAAAGUACAAAUAUAUCACUCAUGUCCACAAUCAAGCUAUGACAAUCAAGAUGAAUAGCGAUACAAGCAUCAUGCUCAAAGACGAUCAAGAUAAUACACAAACUAAAGAAUCAACACAUCUUGUCAAAUGAUAUACAACAGUGAAUCUAUACAUGCGAGGUGAUCAAAACAAUCAUGGCAAAAUCAAAGUCACUAUGCUAAGACAGGUAAGAUAAUCGAUCAAUACAAUCAACGUGUCAAUGUCCCAAAUGGAUAUAGCAAUGAAACAUAGAAAAAAUCACUACAUCGGAAUCCUCAACCAAGAUAUAAUCAAUCAGUAUGUCAAUGUCCUAAAUGAACACAAUAACCAAGCAUGCAUCAAGGAUAAUGAUAUCAAGAGCUCUCAACUUGUAAUCAAUAGUCGAGCGAAUCGAAACACAAAGAGAGAUAGGUACCUACUGAUCGACCAAUCAAACACCACAUUUGCCUUAUCUUAAGUUCAAGCUUGACUCACAGGUGAUUCCCCAGUGGAGUCGCCAUUUUGUGGACCCCGUAUUUCGGUUCAUGUGCUUUCACUCAUUGGCGAACUCGUUUUUUAUUUGAAAAAUGAUUUAUUGUUUAGAAAAUGACUUGGAGUCACCACUUAUUUUUGUUUUAUUUUUAAAGGGUAAACAAAAUAAGAAAGAAAACCCUAAAUGUGACUCCCUGUUUGGAAAAGACAAUCUAUGAGAAACCAAAUACUGGUUCGGGGGUCAUGUUACUUAUCGGAAAGGUAUGGUAAAAACCGUAGCACCCCUCUAAGUCCCUAAAAAUGGGUCUCUACUAAAUAAGAUAAGACAUAUGCGGCAAUUGAUGAGGAAAUCAAUGGAUACCGAUGAAAUAAUCAAAUAAUAAAGUCAAUCAUGCAUCAGAAUAAGCGAAGUGGGAAUGGGAUCAUACCUUAGCGCAAUUAAUAGUGCGCUAUCAUAGAAACAAGGUUAAAUCAAGUAUAAAAUCAUCACAUGCAUAUCAAAAAGUAAGACAAAGAUCAAGUAAUACUCAUUAAGCAUAACAAUUGAAGAAAAUGAAACUCAUAUGUAGGGCCCCCCACCAAAGCCCAAUUUAUUUUGCAUGAAUUAAUAUCACAAAUUCCAUUAUUUUGGAAUUAUGAAAAAUUCAUUCAUGAUUAUUAAAAAAAAAUCAAGGAAAACGAAAAAUUAUUUGAAAAUCAAAGAAAAUUCUUGAAUUAAAAAAAUAUUUGAAAAAUGGAGUGGAAUUAAAACUAUUUGAAAGAAAAUUGGAGUUUUGAAAUUUAUUUGAAAAUUGAAGUCUCGAAAAUUAUUUGAAAAUUGGGAUUUUGAAAAUUAAAUUUAAGAAUUGGAAUUUUGAAAAUUAAAUUUGAAAGAAAUUGGAAUUUUGAAAAUUAUUUGACAAUUGGAAUUUUGAAAAUUAAAUUUAAGAAUUAGAAUUUUACAAAUUAAAUUUUGAAAGAAAUUAGAAUUUUAAAAAUUAUUUAAAGAUGGAAUUUUUAAGAAUAAAUAAAUAGAAUAAUGAUAAUAACGAAAAUAAUAACGAUUAAAUAAACAAACAUGAAAAUUGGAAUUUUUGAAAUUGGAAACUAAGGGCCUAUUUGUUUAGUGUUUUCAAGAACUGUUUUCUGUUCUCGAAAACAAAAAACACCAAAAACUCGUUUGGUUGAGAGAGUCGUUUUUGUUUUUGUUGUUCCCCGUGUUCUCAAAAUGACACUGUUUAGAGAACAACAAAAUAUUGUUUUCCCCGUUUUUUUACCGUUUACAGAACAAAAUUAAACAAAAAAAAACCAUCUGUUCUCCGUGUUUUUUUUUUCUUCCCGUUUUCAUCUCUUCUCCAGCACAGUCGCGUUUCUCAGUUUUGAUUCAAGGUUCAUGAAAUUUAAAUCCAAUGGCACAAUAGCAAAGAGACCCCUAAAACGGAUCCAGAAAACGCAGGGAGCAAAAGAAAAUCCAUUUUUUUGGUUUUCCUUGGGGUUUUUGCUUGGAUUUUCUCGGAAAUCAAACGAGGAUGAAUUUUCCCGGAAAUCGAAUGGGGGAUGGAUUUUCUUGGGAAUCAAACGGGGGUUGCAGGGUUUUUGCUUGGAUUUUCUCGGAAAUCAAACGAGGAUGAAUUUUCCCGGAAAUCGAAUGGGGGAUGGAUUUUCUUGGGAAUCAAACGGGGGUUGCAAAAAAAAUAAUAAUAAUAAUAACAUGAUUAGAUUAGUACCUGCGAGGAUUGAGAGUGGCAGAGGAAAAUAGGGCCUUUUAGGGAUUCUCUCGGCUAGAGGGCAACUUCAGAAAAGGGCUUCUUGAUGCGCGAUGAGAGAAGUGGGUGGCAUUUUGAAUUUUAGAUUUAGUAGAGAUAAAAAAAAAUUAACAAAUCAUGAGAAUAAUUUUAUCUCAACUUAAUAAAAAAUGCUAUAAUUUUUAAUAAAGUUAAAGAUUAAAUAAAAAAAUAUUAAUAAAAAUAAUUUUAUUAUGUUUGAUUUAUUUUAAAAAAAUAUAAAAAAUAUUUUUAUUUUUAAAUUAAUAAAAUAAAUAAAUUUUUUAAUUUAAAUGAACUAUAUAUCUAAAAAUUAUUUAUAAAUUUAUAAUAUAAAAUUACUUGAAGAAAAUAUUUUAUUAAUUAGAAAAGAAAAAAAAAUAUCUUUCAAACAUGUUUUUUGUUUUAUUUGUUCUAAAUUUUUUUUUUAUUAACUCAACCAAACAUGUUUUUUUGUUUCUGAGAACAAAAACUGUUUUUCAAAAUUCAGUUUCCAAACACAAUUUUUUUUUUAAAAACACCAAAAACUGUUUUCCAGAACAGUUUUAAAAAACAGCAACCAAACAGGUCCUAAAUUUGGAAACAGGAAUUUUGAAGAAUUAUUUAAAGAUGGAAGUUUUUGGAAUUUUGGAAAUUAGAGAUUGAAUAUGGAAAUCAGAAUUUUGAAGAAUUAUCUAAAGAUGGAAUUUUAAAAAUAAAUAAAUAAAUAAUAAUGAUUAAAUAAAUAAAUGUGAAAAUUGGAAUUUUGGAAAUUGGAAAUUGAAUUUGGAAAUCAGAAUUUUGAAAAAUUAUUUAAAGAUGGAAUUUUAAAAAUAAAAAAAUAAAAUAAUAAUAAUAAUAAUAGCGAAAAUAAUAAUGAGUAAAUAAAUAAAUGUGCAAAUUGAAAUUUUGAAAAUUGGGAAUUAGAAUUUAGGACCUAAAAAAAAUUCUAAAGAUGAAAGAUUGUGGAGUUGAAUUAUUUGGAAACUGGAUUUUCAAAAAUCAAUUUUUUAAAGUCCGUGGGCUUUGAAAAUGGGCCAAGGAGGGUGGCUAUGCAAACUGGAAUUGUGCACGUGGGCUCGAUCAUAGUUGGACUCAACCUCUCUCAAAGAGCCCAUAAUACUACCCCAACAAGCCAUAUGAAGGAAUGUUGUUGCACCAUGUGAUGAUUUUCAGCAAUUCCUCUAGUGUUUCGUGCCCACCUCCAUAUACAUGGUCAAACCUCCUUCCACCAUACCAAUCUUACUCUUCAGCUUAUCUCAAACCUCCAAUUCAAUAUUCUUCCCUUCAAUCAGUCUCACGUUUUCAUUUUUGGACACUUGAAGCCGACUUGGAGUACAUCGCUCGCAUCGUCUCCUUCAUCAGAUCACACUUCAACUUCACUUUCUCUUCAUAGAUAGCAUCUGCAUUUUUCGACGUCGACACUGUGCCAUCUUCACUAUCACAACUGGAACCCGAAUUCGAAUCAGAAUCCAAAUCCAAAGACGUAGAAGGACGUUCUUGGUCCCUCUGCAUCCUCCGGUGACUUGACUCAUCCUUGUUCAUCAUAAGCAAGGGAGACGACAUCACAAUAUGACAUAAUGUACCCAUCAAAGCCCCACUAUCAAUCUCAAGCCAAAUGUUCUAAAAUCUAAAGACCGUGACACAAUAACUGGUGUUUCGAGAAGUCCAUCAUCAUCACUUGCUUUGUGGUUGGCAGUGACAAACGGAGUCGUGGUCAUUGACGAUGAUCGCCUUCGUGCAAGGCUUGUCGAAGCAUGUGUAUGAAGGUUAGGAUAUGGUGAUUUGUAGGAUGAGGACUUGUGGUGGAAUGACAAUUGGAGGUAUGAGUAUGGAAAUGGGUGUGAUGGAUGACAGUGGGUAUGAAGGGUAUUGGUCUUGUUCAUGGGUGAUUCUUUUGCAUGGAAGUGUCUUGAACACGGAUUGCAUAUUGUUCCAUCUCUACCUGUAAAGGCCUCCUGGAGUACAUUAUAAAUAGAAACUCCAUUUUCUUGCAACACGGAUGGGUUCAAGAAACAAAAGUAAAAUCAAAUAGAGCAUAUAUGCACACAAAUAGAUUCAGCAAAACAAACCAGUAAUCCUUGAUGCCCAAAUCAAUCAAUAAAAUCACACCUAGGAAUUUGUAGAAAAUGGUAGUAGAAUCACGAGAAAAUGAGGAAAUGUGAAGUUUACAAAGGCCUUACCUGGAAGUCUCAUUCCCAAGCAUAGCUUUCCUGUCUCCCCCAGGCUAUCUCUAUCUCUCUGUAACAACAACGGGAAGAUCACCUCCUCUCUAUAACCCCCCACCAAAAAUAUCUCCCUCUUCUCCCAACUUGCAGCUUACGCUCCUCUAUAUUUUCUUGAAAAUAUCUUCCUCCAAAGCAACAACUUGCUUUAUUGCUCCUUGUUUAGGGAGGAUGUCAUCACAUUCAACCACCACCAUGGUGAGCCAUGUUUUUUUUCUUUUUUUUGGCCACAUGUCCAUGUAGCUUGCUCUUCUAGAAAGAGGUCCCCCCACUUCAAAAAAAGAUCUUUAACUCUUUCGGGUGGCCAUGAAAUACCCUUUGAUGCAAAUUAUAAAAGCAACAAUAAUAAUAUAUAUAUAUAUAUAUAUAUAUAUAAACAACUAGGACUUGGUAUGCAAAAAGGGGUUUACACUAAGCCAAUGUGGUCUGUUAACAUGCCUACCUUUUAAAUAUAGGUCCACUUAGCCGCAUCACCCAUCGUGUCAGUAGUGAAACACAAAUGGACCCAAAUAAAUUUCCCGACUCAAUCCACUUCCUACAAUUCUUUCAAAAAAUACCCAAAUGAUUUAACAUAAGAAUAACAACAUAAUAAUUUUAAGAAACAUAACCUCUUAAAAUAAUUUAGAAAUAAUUAAUAUUAAAAAAGGUUCACCUUCCACUAUGGCAUCAAAAUCAACCCCUUCUCAAACUCAAAUGUUAUAUUUGAUUAGUGGGAGAGGAUAUGUAUAUUUUACAAUAUUAUAUUUAAUAAAAUAUUAUAUUUAAUAAAUAUGAGACUUUUGAGGAUAUGUUAUAUUAUGUUAUUUAAUAUACACAAAUAAUUUGCAUAUAUUAUACAAAAAUUUUACACAUAAAUAAAUUAAAAUUUUUAAUUUUAUAAAAUAAUUAAUAAAAAGAAUAAAUUUAUGAUAAAUGUGAUAUAUUUCUUAGUUUAACAUUAAUAUAUUUGAGGUAAAAGGAAUAUAGAAAAACCAAAAAUAAAACAUCUCACUACUAUUUUAUCAGGGCUUUUUUAACUUGUACGGCUAUUUUAAAAAAUAAUUCUUAAAAAAUGGUACUUUGAAAAAUAAUUCCAAAUCUACAACACUUUUUGUCACUUUGAAAUGUAUUUCUUGAAGAGACACCUUCUAUAUUUUUCAUAUCAACCAUAAAUGUUAAAAAAAAUUGAAUUUACACUAAAGGUGUCUUUUGAAGAGAGACCUUCCAUAAUUCCAUAAAAUUAAAUUUAUGUUAAAUGUGUCCUUUCAAAAGACACUUUUUCAUAAUUUUUUUAUUAAUCAUACACGUUAAAAAAAAUUGAAUUUAUACUAAAGAAAUGUCAUUUCCACGAUACCAUAAAAUCAAAUUAAUACUAAAAGUGUCUCUAGAAGAGACAUCUUUGAUAAUUUUCAUAUCAAUCACACAGUGAAAAAAAAAUUGAAUUUAUAUUGAAGGAGUCUAUACAAUUCCACAAAAUUGAAUUUAUACUAAAUGUUUCUUUUGAAGAAACACUUUCCACAAUUUUUUUAUUAGUCACCUAUCAAAAAAUUAAAUUUAUACUAAAAGUAUCUCUUGAAGGAAAACAUUUCAAUAUAAAUUUAAUUUUAUGAAAUUGUGGAAUGUGUAUUUUGAAAAUAUAUUUUUAGUAUAAAUUCAAUUAUUUCAAUGGAUGACUGAUACAAGAAUUGUUGAAGGUGUCUUUUCAAGAGACACCUUUAAUAUAAAUUUAAUUUUAUGAAAUUGUAGAAAGUGUGUAUUAAGAAGACAUCUUUAGUAUAAAUUCAACUUUUUUUUAUUAUGCAAUUGAUAUGAAAACUGUGAAAAUGUCUAUUUAAAAGACACUUUUAAUAUAAAUUCGAUUUUGUAGAAUUAUAAAAGGUGUCUCUUGAAGAGACAGUUUUAAUGUAAAUUCAAUUUUUUUGAACGUGUAUCAUUUAUAUAAAAAUAAUGUAAAGUGUCUUUUUAAGAGAUACCUUUAAAAGUGACAAAAAAUGCCGUAGAUUUGAAAAUAAUUUUCAUUGUACUAUAUUUUAAAUUUUUAAUUUUAAAUUCACCAUAUAAUUAUCAAAAAUCCUAUUUUAUCAUAUGUUAUGUUAUCUCAAACCUCUUUACGUUAGAAAGGACGUCUUAAAGUCCAAAAACAAAUGGUGUUUAUCUUGGGAUCUCCUUUCUUUUGACUUUCAUCAUGCUAAGACGAAGGUAGAGAAUCAAGAACCAUUGCAAAACAUAAAUGAGUGCUAGUAAUAAAAUAAUUGAGUCGGAAUUCAUCUUUUCCAUCAUUACUCUUAUAUUAUUUAUUGCAUGGAUUAUUAUUAUUAUUAUGAUUAAUUAGAAUAUUUUCAAAAAUAUGAUCAAACAUAAAAUUUUCUUUCCCUCAAAUUUUAAUUGGAAUUUAAAAGUAUUACAUGUAAGAUAUUUACAUGCAAUAUAUAUUCGAUCCAAGUAUCCGAACAUUUGCAACAUGAAUCAAAUUUAGAAAAGACUUAGAAUCAUCUACUUACCUCCAACCAUUGUUUUUGAAUUGUAAUUGGUGAAGUCUCGGAUUUUCCAAACUCUAAUCUCACUUUUUUUAGAUGGUAUAUUUCUGAAGAUAAAAACUGCAAAGAGAGACAAGUUCGGGACCAUAAGAGAUUUAUGUAACUGUGGUUUCCCAUCAUACCACGCUUUUUCUGAUUUGCCACCAUGUUGAGCAGUUUGUAGAACAUGUUCCUUAACCGUGGGGAACUGAGAUGACUGGUGGAGGACGUGGUUAAGUGUUGGACCACUUUAGGGUGGUGACCACUUCAGAGUGGUGAACGUGUAGCUGGUAACAUUAUAUCCUUUUUUUUUAAAAAAAAUUAAUUUAUUAUUUUUAUCAUUUUGAGUCACUUAGGGUCACGAAUUACUGUUAUGAUUGAAUUGUGAUUAAAAUAAGAAAGAAAAAUUAUUUAUUUUCCAACCCAUCUCUUGUAACACCAAAUAAAGGAAAGAAUUCCUUCAUUUCAAUUCGCUUUUAUACCAAAUUUCCUUAAUUGAAAUCCAUUCAAUUCAUUUCAAAGUUUAUUAAUUGGAGUAUUUUCCUUUUGGGUUUAGCCCCAAACAUAGUUUUACGUCCGGUAACUAAUUGUAUUAUUUAAUUUUAUAUUAUAUUAUCUUCCUGUUUGGAAACUAUUAUUGAGUUUUUUAAUAUUUGAAAUAGAAAAUAGAUUUUUAAAUCUAAAAACAAACUUGAUGAAGAUUUUGUAGAAAAUAGUUUUUUUAAAGUUUGUUUCAAAAACAAGUUAUUUUUUAGAUGGUUUAAAUUAUUUUUUAUAAAAUGUUAUGAAAAAACAUGAAAAAUAUUUUUAAAAACUUUAGUAUCACGCUUAGUAUAAGUUAAUAAAACCAUUUUAAUAUUUGAGUUCUCAAAUAAUUUUAUUCCUAAAAAUAAUUGAGAAAUAUUCAAAAAAAAAAAAUGUUCUAGAAAAACAAUUUGAGAGUUGCUUUUUUGAACAUUAUUUGACAAGUCCAAUACUUUUCUUUUUAUAUUGUUACUUAUAAAAAAAUCAAUUUUUAGUAGUUGGAAAUUAUUAUAAAUUUAAAAUAUAUUUAAUUUUUUUCUUUUACUUCAUUUAAAAGAAUUUAUCCCACAUCAAGCACAACCAAAAUAUAUUUUUAUUUAACACUUAAUCUCAUUGUAAUAUUCAUUUAAUAUUUAAUCUCAUUGUAAGAUGUGUUAAUUUCUUAAGCAUUACAAAAUUAGUAAAUUACAAUGAUUUUAGGACGUGGAAGCUAGUCCAAUUAAAAAUGCUAGUGAUUAAUAAUAAGUCAAAUAAUUAUAAUAAUAAUAAUAUGAGAGAUUAGUUAAUGCUUAAGCUAAUCUUGACAUGGAGACUAGAGGUAUGAAUUAUUAGAAAAAAUUAAUUCUUCUCAUUCUUACAUUUACAUAAAAGCGUAAUCCAAGAUUAGAGGUAUACAACAAUUAAAAAUAUGACGAAUUCUCUAAAAAAUUGUGUUAUAUAUAUAUAUAUAUAUAUGAGUAAAUACAUAAGUUGAAAAUUUUAUUUUCAUAUUUGAGUUAUCAAAUAAUUUUGUUUAUAAAAAUAAUUGAGAAAUUUUUUUAAAAACUAUUAUAAAAGGACUAUUUGAGAACUGUAUUGUUAAAUGAUUUUUAUAUUUUUCUUCUUAAUUUUUUUUUCAUAUAUAAAAUUUAAAACUUAUUAUUGUUUUCCAACUUGAAAACUUAAUAAUAAAAUUUAAUAACAAAUUUUUAUUUAUCAAAAACGUUUUAAACUAUGAAAUCUUUUCUUGGAUAUAUAUAUAUAUAUAUAUAUAUAUAUAUAUAUAUAUAUAUAUAUAUAUAUAUAUAUUAUUAUGAAUGUAUCUUUAUUUUCAAUUAGUAAAAUUAAAUGAUAAAAUUAAAGACGUUAAAAAUAAAAGGGAAGUUGUAGACCCCCAUUUAGGCAUGGGUCACAUUUUUCUCUAUUUGUUUUUGCAAAUCACAUUUUUAGCCAGGUGUCACUAUCCCAGCGGGCCACGUGUCGCAUCCUUAGUGGUCAUAAGGAAUCAACUUCGCUUUUUGAAGCUGCAGUAAGACUUUGACACAUGGAGAAACUUUCUGGAGGGGGGUCCCGCAGGCCGUCAAGGGGCACGGAUCAGAGAGAAAAAGGUGGCUGCAGAAGGAGUGUUGUAGAAAAGGUGGCUACUGCAGAGAUCGUUUGAGAGGACAACAUUGUAGUGCAGCAACAGGGAGAGUGGUUGGGCAAGCCAUGCUUGCUGACCAGUGAACAGUAGGGCAGAGGAAGGAAAAAAAAAAGAACAAGUGAAAAACAGGAGGAAGGAGCAGGAGGUUGAAGGAAAAAAGGGGUAUUGGAGAGAUAUUUUGAGAGGAGGGGGUACUCGUUUAGCUGAGGGGCAGCAAACUAUGAGAGGUGAGAGACUUUUGGGUGUUGGUAGGGAGAUAUUUUGAGGAAGAAGGAGAUCUUUUCAGGAGGGCUUUUGGCUGGUUUUUGAGAGAAUGGUUUAAAGAGAAGAGAUGAGAGUUUAGCCAGAGACGCCUAGCUAGAGAAGAAGCUUUCAGGUAUGACUAUCACUCUUUUACAUCUCUUGUGAUUAUUUGAAUACUCAUUAAUCUGUUUGGGGUGGAUAAUGAAGGCCACCAGUCUUCUUGUUGAAGUAUGACCCUGCAUUUGUGUUUGCCAUUGUCCAUUUUAACUUGCUCUAAUCCUACUGUGAUUAUGAAAUGCUUGAGAAUCAUGAGGGUGGUUGCAUUUGAUAUGGUUUAUCCACCUGCUCAGAAGAUUCAUGGAUGAUUCAUGAAAUGGAUUUUCUGAUAUUUUUCUUUAUUUAUUCAUCUUCUUUCACGCCCUGUUUCUCUACUUCCCCUGUUUCUUGAUAUCCGUCCAUGGUACACAUCCAUUUUCUCAUCCCUGCUCCAAAGAGAUCCUAGAAAAUCUGGAGUAGUUGUCAUGGCAGCAAAGCUCACCUCAUCAGCAUCCCCAUACCCAUUUUCGUUUAUUAUUCAUCGUUUUAUCCAGCACGCCUAUGUCCCUAUCCAUCACUCCACUCCCAUUCCCGUUUAUCUUCAUCAUGCGUAAACCCCCACACAUGGCAUUGCUCAUUCCACUCGGAUGCCUCACAUCCGGAAUUCUGCCCGGCAACAUUCUACCUCAUCCGGAUGUCUCUCAUCCGGAAUUCUUCCCCCCGUCUCAUUCCACCCGGACAUAUCGCAUCUGGAAUCCUUCUCGCCUCAUUUCACCCGGACAUAUCGCAUCCGGAAAUCUUCCCCGCCUCAUUCCACCCAGGUGUCUCACAUCCGGAUUUCUUCUCCGCCGACAUUCCAUCCGGAUGUCUCGCAUCCGGAAUUCUCUCUCCGCCGACAUUCCAUCCGGAUAUCUCACAUCCGGAAUUUUCCCUGCCGACUUUCCACCCGAACGUAAAUUCUCACUCCUUCCAUCCGGAUAUUCACAGCCGCCAUUCUGUCCGACCAACAUUCCACCUUCUCCGGAUGUCUCACAUCCGGAAUUCUACCCGGUCAACAUUCUACCUUAUCCGGAUGUAUCACAUCCGGAUCUGAAGGUCAACUUCUUUCCACCUCAUGACUUUAAGCAUGUCCAUCUGUGCAUGGCCGCCUUCCCCAAGUCCAACUGUGUAAAUGUUUUCUCUAAUUCAGGUUAUUUCAAAAUAAUUUCAAAUCAUCAAAAUUUUCUAUCCUUCAUCCUUAGCAUUUUUCUUUAGGUUUCAAAAGUCCACUUCUCAGUAUAACUUUGCUGCCAUUUUUUUUUUCCUUUUGGCAGGCAAUCUUCACAAUCCCAUGGCUUUAAAAUGUUUUAAAGUAAGUAGGAAUUUUAAUUUUGUAAUUUCAGAUAAUGGAAUUUAUGGAAUUAGUUCAUGCAAAAUAAAACAGGGCUUUGGUGGGGGCCCUACAUAAGUGACUGUAUAAUUGAUUGAUUGAUUGGUUGAUUUAAUUGCCAUGCAUGAUUGAUGUUAUUCUACUCUAUAGCAUGCUCAAAAAUAUUCCUUAAUUGUGCAUUAACCCCACUUCUUGAUAGCGCAUAACGGCUCGUCGUCUAGGUACAUAUCUAUUCCCAUUCUGGUAUUUCUAUAUGCAUGCUUUGAUUUCUCAUAUGUGCAUGAUAGUUCCGGGUAUUCAUUGAUUUCCUCAUCAAUUGUCAUGUCAGCUUCAUUUUAUUAGUAGAGACCCGUUUUAGGGACUUAGAGGGGUGCUACGGUCUUUACCGUACCUUCCCGAUAAGUAACCUGACCCCCGAACCCGAUCCGAUUUUUCGCAGACCAACCUUUUUCAAAACGAGGAGUCACACUUAGGGUUUUUCUUUCUUAUUUUGUUUACCCUUUAAAAAUAAAACAAAAAUAAGUGACGACUCCAAAUAAUUUUUUUUAACCGAUUAAAUCAUUUUUCAAAAUAAAAAAUCGAGCUCGCCAUCAAGUGGGAAACGCAUUGAGCCGAAAUGCGGGGUCCACAAAAGUAUAUCUCAACUUACAUCAAUUAAGAGGAGAUAUAUUAAGCAAAUGAAGGAUAAAAAUGAUUAAUGAUAAAAUAAAUAAUAUAUAAAUUAGUAUUAUGUGUUAAUGAUUUAUGUUGUUAGAGUGUGGCAGAGAUUUUCAUUUUUUUUAAAUACAUUUCACUGUAGUGUAGAUAUUUUUUGUAUAAGAGUUUUUAAAUUGUAAUAUGGAUUUUUUUAGUAGGCUGCUUUUUUUUUUUGCAUAUAUAUAGUUGUUUUUUUUCAGUAAUAUUUUGUUAUCUCAGUAAUUCAAAAGAAAUAAAAAUUAUUUAUCCCACAUCGCUUCAAAACUAAAAAUAUUAUAUAUAUUUAAUAAAACUUUGAUUUUCUUAAAAAAAAUGAAGUAAAGUCAAUGCGUCUAAUUCUAGAUAGGCAGCAUUAAUUUAUCUUGGAGUGCCUAAUUCUAGAUACGCAGCAUUAAUUUAUCUAAUUCUGCUGCUUCAUAUGGUUUCAUAUAUUAAUCCUUUUAAUUUAUCUAAUCCUUAGCAUUCUGACGCAAGCUUCAUAUGUUUCAUAUAUUAAUCCUUUUAAUUUAUCUAAUGGUUUCAUAUAUUAAUCCUUUUAUUUCCAUUUACGUUGGAACAAUUAUUGUUGGUAAAAAACUUAGGACGGAGGCUAUUAGGCCCAUUUUAUUUAUAUAUAUGCUACUUGAAUAAACCAUUAAGCAAUUUGUCUUUUGUACUAUCUUAGUUUACUUCUAUAUAUAAAAUGUUACCCUAAAUGUCUUUUUUUGUAAUAAGUUAUUUCCUAUCAAAAAGACUAAUGGUGGAGGAGCAGUUACCCCUGUACCCCUGUAGGCCAUCACCGAAGGAAGAUUAAGCAAUUUGUCUUUAGUACUAUCUUAGAAACAAUCCUAGUAAAAGAGACGCUUUCAAUAAUAAUCUAAACAAGUAGGUUUAUCAAUGGUUGAAUCCAUAGAAAUAUAAUCUCCUUAUGCAUUAUGAAUUAUAUUCAAUAAUUUGAAUUUCUUAUCCAGUUGGUGGGAGAGUUGAUUUUUUACCAUUACAUAAGCCAAAGGGGAUUACGAUCCUUUCAAAAGACAAAAAUUUUAAGAAACAUUACCAGCUCAAAGAAUUUAUAAAUAAGUACUAAAAAAUUUUAACCCUUCACAAUGUCAUCAUACCCAUAAUCCCAUGGCUCAUAAAUCAAUGGUUAUCAAACUCACAUGUUAUAUUUGAUUGAUAGGAUAAAAUAUGUAUAUUUUAUGAUAUUAUUUUUAAUAAAAUAUUAUAUUUAAUGAACAUAAUAUACUUUGAAAUAUGUUGUAUUAUGUUAUAUAAUAUGUACAAAUAUUUUUUAUAUACUGAAUAAUAUAUAUAAUAAUAAUAUUUUAUAAUAAAUUUUAUACAAAUUUUUUAGUUUUUAAAUUUUAAAUUUAAUAUUUUUAACAGAAUAUAUAGAUAUAUUAAGGCAGAAAAAAAAACCUUCAACGAAAUCUGAAGGUCUGUGAUCAAGCCAGAAGAUAUCCUCCCUAUUUAUUUUUCUUUAAAUUGGAAAAUACCAUAAAGUUUAUUAUCUUCAUCAGCACAUUGACAACCGAAACUCAAGUAAUUUGAAAUGCCCACGCUAUGCAACAAAACAACCUUUUGCAAAUUCUUAGAAAAAUCUUAACAAAGCCAAAAUUUCUUUCUUUGCAUGUGUCUUUUGACAGCUAAAAAAGGAGGAUAAAAAACUUAGCACUUACCCACAUUUUAUAAAGUAGAAUUUUCAGGUCCAGAGCCAUCAUCUAGUCAAGAAAGCAGAAGAACAAAGAGAAAGGGAAUUAACGACAAGCAAAUGGAAACAUAUAUGAAACUAUUAUUUUUCUUGAAAUACAACUCAUGAGAGAGAAUUGAACCAUAUAACCUUGUAAUAUAAAAUCAAAGCAUUGUAGACAUGAAAACAUUUUGAAUCCAAAAGCGUAAAUUAAAAUAGAUCAUAACAUGUUUUGACAUCAAAGAUUCUUUUAUUUUCUCAACACAAAUCACUGAUCGAAAUUCCAUGGCAAAAUGAAGAGGAAAAAGAAUUACAUUCACAUAUCUUCACAAUAAACUAACCUCAAAUCACAGAAGCCUGCAAUCACAAUUUGGCGUACAACGAUGAUGUCCUUGCAGCAAAAAUAGCUCGGUGGAGGAAUGCUCAUAGUCCACUAGGAGGCCUGAAAGAGACUACUUGGACAGAGAACAGGGCAUUACAACCUUUUGAAGAGAGGUCUAGCGGGAACUACACAAACAGAGUAGCAUUUUGCUUGCCGAUAACCAACACAAACUACUUUAUACCAUUGGACAGAGACUACUUCUUUCUCUUGAACAGAAACUAUCCCUCUCAAAAGAUUUAAACUUUAUACCAAACAAAAUAGAGACAAGACAGAUUUGCAAAUCAACACAAACCCCAAUUUCUCUUUAUUUCCUAUGCUAUGAAGAAAACCAAACAAAGAUCCCCAAUUUCUUCACCAACCAAAACAAUUUUUUUUUUUAAAAAAAAAAAAAGCCUCAACAUAAACUAACCCAAUUUCGAAAACCCUGGACUGACAAUGAGAUUGACUGAACUGAGAUUACGAGAGAUCGCCGCCGGUGAGAUAUGGAGAGACAGAUGAGAUUCGUAGUGGAACAGGGUGUAGACUGUUGAGCACUCUUUUGAGCUUGCCGAACCCGGCUUCCCUCUGCUCCCACGGCGACAGAAUGAGGCGAAUAGUUGGUAUGUUGUUAAAUUUGGUAUUUUGUUAAAUCAAGUUGAUGAAUAUGGUUUUAUAUUUCCAUAUAAAUAUAUAUAUUUCCCUUCUUAC